rnacentral:misc_RNA from 1 species
AACCUUCUAUUAUUAACAGCAAGUCUUGUCAACUUGGACAGAUUCUUGUCCCGUUGAUUUGCAUAUGAGAGUGAUACACUACGGCUCAGAUACUUAUUUCUCCUAUCCGCAGAAGCCCGAGAAAGGGCUUCUUUGGGGCUAGAAACCAAAUCAUCAUCUAUGCUGAGCUUUGUCUUCAAAUCAUCUGGUAGUGCCAUAACGUCAUUGACAAGCUUCUCCAGCUGAAUCUGUUCUAUGUAAGUACGAGGAACAUAUGAACC